GACAGAGGAUGCAAGCGUUAUCCGGAAUGAUUGGGCGUAAAGCGUCUGUAGGUGGCUUUUUAAGUCUGCCGUCAAAUCCCAGGGCUUAACCCUGGACAGGCGGUGGAAACUACCAAGCUGGAGUACGGUAGGGGCAGGGGGAAUUUCCGGUGGAGCGGUGAAAUGCGUAGAGAUCGGAAAGAACACCAACGGCGAAGGCGGGUAGCUGGGCCGACACUGACGCUGAUGCGCGAAAGCCAGGGGAGCGAACGGG
rnacentral:rRNA from 1 species